rnacentral:lncRNA from 1 species
UUGUGAUUGGUACUUUUGUGAUUGACAACAAAUUCACCUUUCUUUGGAUUCUAAUCAGAAGCUUGUAUCUUGUCUUGCAUUGCAUUUGUGUCUCAUUUCAAGAACUGAUGUCAAGUUGUGAUCAAUGGAGGAAGUUUCUUGCAAGACUUUGAUUUCCUUCUCAUGCAAUUUAUGACGCUUCAUUCUAUGAUUAUCUUUGCAAUUUACAGACUGGCUUUUGAGUGUUGAUUUGAUAAAGAUUUAGUGAAUAUGGUAAGUCUCUUUCUAUAUAUAGUCAUUUGCAAUGAACAACUAAAUUGAAUAACAUAACUCCAUAAAACAUUCAUUUAGUUUGGAACUACAAGUCUCUUAUAUUUCUUUGUUUAUUCUUUCUUUCUGCUAUUUUAUUGCUUCUAAUUGAAGGACGGAUUUUCAUGUUUUAACCUUUUGUUAAAACCAGUACUGCUUAUGUUCCAUGAAUUUUCCAGUAUCCACUCAUGAACUUUCUGAAUUCUCUUUGGAUAUGAAGGGAGAUGCUGAUAUGGCCGGAGUCAGAGUGAAUUGUUCUCCUUUUCAACAUUGAAGAGCUAUAAUAUAAAAGACAGCUUUGGUUCACCAAUUCAGGGGUUUAUCUGAUGUCUGUCUGAGCUGAUUUUUGGACAAUGGCUAAUAGCCUCGAGGAUUUCGAUUGUGCAAGGUUGGAUUUUUCAUUCGGAUUUGUAUCUUUUGGUUUUUCAUUUUCAAUGUUAGUCAUAUUUGGGUGAUAUCCUCUACUUUCCAGCGAAUAGUUUUGUUGGAGUCGUAUGCUUUUUAUUGUGGUUUUUACCCUCAACCCCUUGCUUCAAGGGGGUUUUCCAUGUAAAAGAUCACAUGUUUUGUUUAAUUGGUUCCUUACGAUUAUUGAGUUUUAUUUUGUGCAAUUAAGUUUACUAUAAAUAUUAAUUGAUAUAAAAAACAGUAUAAGUUUUUAUGCAGAUAGUCUUAAAUUUGUAAAUGCUCCUAAAAAUUUAACUCAUGAGAUCCUGAUUAAAAGUGCUCACAUGAACGGCGGCUUAACAUUUGGAUUGAGUUAUUAUACUGUAUUAAUAUAACUUAUAUUUAUCCAAGUUGGGUUGAAUUCGAAAUAUUAGUCUAAUUUUUUCUAACUCAUUCAUAUUUCUAAAUGCCCCAAGCUCACCCUUAUGUUUAAAGUUUAAACCUCCAUUCACAUAAUGAUUUAUGUUUAAUUAAUUCAUUUGACCUUAUCAAAUAGUAAUACUUCAAGUUUCAACUUGAUUAUUAUAUUUUCUCAAAGGCUUUUUGGAUCCACUAAUUGAGUUUAGCUUAAUUUUGGCUCACUUAAUCAAUUAUUUAUUUCAUGGGUCAGACCAAGAAUUUUGCUGCAAAAUCUUGCACAUCCAAAAUUUUGAUAUUACAAAUCAAAGAAAAUGAUUAAUCCAACUUCCACAAAUGACUAAUUCAAGUUUGAAACUUAUCACACGUAAUUAAAAUGUGGAUUUUCAGUUCUCAACGUAAAUUAUUGUUAUGGGUUGAUUUUAGUUUAAUUAAUUAGUUUAUAGUUUGAAUUUGUUCUAGCUACUAAUUUGUUCUAUAAUAAUUUGGUGAUACAUAUAUAUCAUUUUUCUUGUGUUUUAUUUUGUGUGAGCUUUUAAGUCCCGUGGUUUUUACCCUUUGCUUUAAUAGGUUUUUCAUGUAAAAAAUUACAUAUCUCAUUUAAUUUGUUCCUUACAAUUAUUUUGUUUUAUUUUGAGCUGAUCCAUGAUAUAUUAUACGUUUGCCAUAAUUAUUAAUUAAUAUUUAUUAAGAAUAAAAGAACACCAAUUAUAGAUCUAAACAAUGUUGAAUGUAUUCGAUUUCAUCCCAUCAAAAUUCAAAGAUUGCCCCACAUUUCAGAUUUACAUCUUUGACUGCAUUUUUUGUUAGUUAUAUGAAGUAGCGAUGUUGUUAAAUGUAUAGUAGUAUUGUUGGGAAGAUCACAAAUUUUUUUUACAAUAUUUUGGAUUGUAUAUUAGUCUUUUUAUUGAAAAACGAAUAAAUUAAUCCUUCAAAAAGUUAUAAAAUGAUCACUAAAUUAUUUGAGUUUCCGUUUCAGUUAAUGGGCAAUUAAAUUGUUAUUGUAUGGCAUUAUCUGUUUGCGUUCCUUACACUAAUCAAAAGCUCUCGUUUUUCUUAUUUUUUAUAGUUCAAAUUUUCAUUACAAAUUUACAAAUCAAAAUUCAAACAAUUUUUUAUUUUUUUUAUAUUUUUGACAUUGAUUGUUAGAUUGUAGUUCACUAGCUAAACUUUAAGAAAAAAACUUAACAACCUACUAACUAAAUAAAAACUUUCGAAUAAUUUAGUGAUUUAAAUAAAAACUUUUGAAUAGUUUAAUGGUCAUUUUGUAACUUUAUGAGGUUAGGUAACCAAAAUAUAAACUUAAUAAUAGUUUAGUGACCUUAAGUGUAGUUUACCCUUAAUAUAAUAUUAUGUUAAAUUCAAGUUAAUUUUUACAUAAAAAUCAAGCUUACUCUUAAAAUGUUCUUUUUUUGGAAAACAACUUAUGUUUUUGAAAAGAGGAAUUCGAUUUCUAGAAAAAAAUGAUUUAAUUUUUAUUGACUUGUAUCUCAUUUUUUGUUUAUCAAAUUAUUUUUUAUGAAACAAAUUUGAAAAAUAUAAAAAAAAAAUCUAUAAAUCAUUUUUCAAGAAGUAGAGACAACUUAAAUUUGAAAGGAAACUCAGUAUUAGAGGUGCUCAUGGGCCGGGUUCGUGCCGGGCCCAGAAAAAAUUUUAGCCCGUGUCCUAGGCCUCGGCCCGGCCCGGCCUGAAAUAUGGGUUUGAAUUUUUGUCCAGGCCCGGGGAAAAAAUCCUAAGCCCGAGCCUGGCCCGGCCUAGUCCACUUUUUAAAUAAAUACCAAAAAUUUAUUUUAAAAAUAAAAAAAUUUAAAAAAAUAUUUUAAAAAUAUUUUAAAAUUAAAAAAAAUAAAAAUAUAUUUAUUAUAUUCGGGCCAGGCCCAGGCUCGGGCCAAAAAAGUUGUGCUCGAGGCCAGAUCCGUUUUCUAAACGGGCCUCAUUUUUUUGCCCAAACCCAUAUUUCGGGCCUAUAUUUUUACCCAAAUUCUCCAAUAUUUCGGGCGAGCCGUCGCGCCAACCGGGCCGCCUGGCCCAUGAGCACCUCUACUCAGCAUAUAAUAUUUGCACAAAAUGACACUUAAAACUUGAAAAGUCUCAUUCUUAAUGUCUCUAUCAUACCUUCAGAUAUACAUGGGCCGAACCGAAUCAAGGCUCAACUUAAAAAAAGUCAAACCCGGUUCCAAGCAUCUCAUACCCAAUAAGCCUAUAUUACGGUUUGAAUAAUAAUAUUUUUUAAAACACACUUUUAUAUUAAUAUUUAUAUAUUUUUAUAAUUAAAAAUCAUUUAACUCAAGUUAGAGAGAUCAAGGGUGGGUUUGUAUGGGCGAUUAAGUGCGGUGCAGUACGUUUAGCCUACUUUUUGUCUCACACUACAGUGUUGUUACAGUAUCUAAUCUCACCGCUACCACUGUUUUUACAUUAACCGCAGGUAAACGCACUGCCUAUCCAAACUCACUCCAAGUUAGGGAAACUUUUUUAUCCAAAUUAAAUCAAAGUGAUCAAAUCGGGUGGAUCAUCCAAUUCCUCAACAUGUCUAAUCAUUCAUCAUGAGUCAUGAUUAGAGGUGUUUAUAGGUGAGUUUAGAUAUGAUAUUAACACAUUUUAUACUUACCAAACGUAAUUCAAUUUAAGAAAUGAGUCUAAAAUUUUGCUCAAGUUUACUAAUAUUAAUAAAUUACUAAUUCAAAUCCAUUUUAAGCUUGUACAUAUUAAUUUAAAAAAUAAAAUACAUUUAUAUUAUUUUUAAUUUAAUAUUUAUUAAAAUUAUAUAUAUUCAUCUUAACAUUUUCUAAUGUUUACAUUAUAAUAUUAUUAUUUAUUAUUAUAAAUUUAAUUUUUAUGUAUUAUAAAUUAUAUAAUAUAUGAAAAUAGUAUAAUAUAAAAUAUUAUAAAUCUUUAAAAACAAAUAAAAUUAAAUCGAAUUUUAUAUAUUUAAGUCUGAACUCGAUUUAUAUUUUAAACAAAAUUAAUUAAUUUUAUAAAAUAAAUCUAAUUUUUUUAUUUAAAUCUUCACAAAUUUUAGACAAACUUUUAACGGAUAUAGUCAUGAAUCAAGAGGUACAGUAUUGACAUUUAAAACACGUUGUUGUACAAUCAUAACAAAAGAAAAGGAGUGUUCUAAGACCAUACAUUUUACCAACCACUUGCCUGCCUCUUAAACACAAAAGCUUUAAAGCUGCAAUGAUAUGACAAAACGGGCAUUUAUUUGUUUCUAUCAACUUAACGUACAUGGUAUUAAUAUUUUAGGGUGCACUGAUAUAUGAUUUACAGCAAUGGUCUCAUUCCACAGCAUCUACAUCUGCAUCUGCAUCAUCCAUCUUCUUAUUGGUGAUGAAGCCUAAAACCUGCCAUUGUUGAUAAAUUGAUUUCCCUGUCUGACACCCUGUUUCUUACCCAUGACUGAAGGUCCUCUUUUAUCUCCAACGUAAUUAUUUCAGUCGGCCCCAAUCGCAAUAAUGGUAGGAGAGAGAGACUUUCCAACGCCAUGCAGACCAAACAUGGAAACUGUCUCCACAUUAUCACUCACUCAUAUCCUCUCUAGUUUUUUUUUAAAGGGUUAAUGUGUAAAUUUCUCAGUUCAAAUUGAAAUUUAUACCAUAAUGUUAUAUUUUAAGUUAUAUUUAUCAAUAUAUUUUAAAGCAAAAAAAAAAUUACCACUAUAUUUUAGUUUUAUUCUUAAAAUAUAAUGAUAAAUACUAAUCAAAAUAAUAUAUAGUGACAAAUUUUAAAUGUAUAGUAGUAUUGUUGGGAAGAUGACAAAAUUUUUUGUACAAUAUUUUGGAUUGUAUAUUAGUCUCUUUAUUGAAAAACAAAUAAAUUAAUCCUUCAAAAAGUUAUAAAAUGAUCACUAAACUAUUUGAAUUUCUAUUUCAGUCAAUGUGCAAUUAAAUUGUUAUUGUAUGGUCUUAUCUGUUCGCACUCCUUACACUAAUCAAAAGCUCUCAUUUUCUUUUUUUUUUAUAGUUCAAUUUUUCAUUACAAAUUUGCGAAUCAAAUUUCAAACAAUUUUUUAUUUUUUUAUAUUUUUGACAUUGAUUGUUAGAUUAUAGUUCACUAGCCAAACUUAAAAAAAAAAACUUAACAAUCUAGUGACUUAAAUAAAAACUUUCGAAUAGUUUAAUAACUUAAAUGAAAACUUUUGAAUAGUUUAGUGAUCAUUUUGUAACUUUAUGAAGUUGGGUAACCAAAAUAUAAACUUAAUAAUAGUUUAAUGACCUUGAGUGUAGUUUACCCUUAAUAUAAUAUUAUGUUAGAUUCAAGCUAAUUUUUACAUAAAAAUCAAGUUUACUCUUACAAUGUUCUUUUUUUGGAACACAACUUACGUUUUUCAAAAGGGGAAUUCAAUUUCUAGAAAAAAAUGAUUUAUUUUUUAUUGACUUGUAUCUCAUUUUUUGUUUACCAAAUUAUUUUUUAUGAAACAAAUUUGAAAAAUGUAAAAAAAAUCUGUAAAUAAUUUUUCAUGAAAAUAGAAGCAACUUAAAUUUGAAAAGAAACUCGGCAUAUAAUAUUUACACAAAAUGACACUUAAAACUUGAAAAGUCUCAUUCUUAAUGUCUCUAUCAUACCUAGAGAUGUACAUGGGUCGAACCGGAUCAAGGCUCAACUUAAAAAAAAUGUCAAACCCGGUUCCAAGCAUCUCACACCCAAUAAGCCUAUAUUACGGUUUGAAUAAUAAUAUUUUUUAAAACACACUUUUAUAUUAAUAUUUAUAUGUUUUUAUAAUUAAAAAUUAUUUAACUCAGGUUAGAUAGAUCAAGUUAGGGAAACAUUUUUAUCCAAAUUAAAUCAAACCGAAUUCGGGUGGAUCAUCCAAUUCCUCAACAUGUCUAAUCAUUCAUCAUGAGUCAUGAUUAGAGGUGUUUAUGGGUUGAGUUUAGAUAUUAUAUUAACACACUUUAUACUUACCAAACGUAAUUCAGUUUAAAUUGCUAAUUCAAACGUAAUUUUACUCAAGUUUAUCAAUAUUAAUAAAUUACUAAUUCAAAUCCAUUUUAGGCUUGUACAUGUUAAUUAAAAAAUAAAAUAUAUUUAUAUUAUUUUUAAUUAAUAUUUAUUAAAAUUAUAUAUAUUCAUCUUAACUGUAACAGCCUAAUUUUUAGUGGUGUCGAAAACAGUGAUUCGAGAUCACUAAAUCUGACCAGUGAGUUUUAAAUUUUAAUAAAUAAAUACAUAUGAGUCAAGUAUGAUUAUAGAAGAAUUUUAGAUUAGUGAAUUCUGUGAUUUAAAAAGAAAAUAAUAAGUAAAUUGGGUCUAAAACGAGGUAUUGAAACAUCGAACUCAUAAACCAAGCCAUAAAUAUUUUUAAAAAUAUUUAUAAAGUGUCAUUGAGUUGGGAUUAAAGUUUCGUUAGAAAAUUCUAACGUUUGAAUGGUCAAUUAAUUAAAAAAUACUAAAUUAAGAAUAGUACAAAAUUUAUUAAAUUAUGAUUAAAUAGCUUAAGUGACUAAUAAGGAUGGAUUUAAAAGGCAAUUAGGCCCAAAUUAUAUGGGCUGGACUGUUUGGGCAAGAAAAUCAGCAAGAAAACAAGGAGAAACAAGGGCAAAAUUAGAAAUUUUACAAAUUAAACAUAUAAAACAAAGACAAAAUUGAAAAAUCUAGAUAUUUCUUCAUAAUUCAGCAGCAAAAACACCACAGGAGGUCUGAAACAAGCUGAUUUCUCAUAUUUUUAUACCAUGUGAGUUCAACUCUUGCUUUUCUUUGAAAUUUUUAUGUUUUGUGAUUUUUACAACUAGGUUCAACAAUUGAAUUCAUUAGUUUUUUAUUCCAUGUGUGAUUUUGUAAGUUACCAUGAAUAAGUGAUGGAAGUUUAUGAUGAGUUAUCAUAGAUUUGAAGCUUUAAUUUCAUUAUAUUAUGAUUUUAUUAAGUGAUUUUAGUAGAAAAUGAUUUUUAGGACCUAAUUGUGAAAAAGCUAGGAAUUGGGGUUUUGUACUGAAAUUUUGAAUACUAAAGGCUGUAUAAUAGCCUAAAAUGAUUAGACAAAGUGUUGUUUGAGGACAAAUUUGUUCAAUUGAAGUGUUAAUUGAGUAGGGACUAAAUUGUAAAAACUAUAAAUUUUGGGGUAAACGUAUAAUUUCAAAAAUUGAAGGGUAUAAAUUGCAAAAUGAAUUAGUAUUGAAAUAGAUGCUAAUGAAUGAAAAAAAUAUAUUAUAGAUUGGGAAUCUGAAGAUAAAUAAGAAAAAGAAAAAGUCGCUGAUUAGUUCCUAAAAUAUUACAACUCCUACAAAUUGGCCUAGGUAAGUUCAUACAGCUGAACUUUUAUGAUUAAUUGUAAAUGGGGGAAUGAUAUAAUGUAUUAAUUCGUGUUUUGUAGUUGAAUUAUGAUUAUUAUAAAAAAAAAAGUAAAAAUCAAAAUUUAAGUUCAAAUUAAGGGAUACGCAAGAAUGAGUACGUUUAGUAACCAGUGAUGAAUUAACGAAUAAGUCCAUGGUGGAUCCAUGGUAAAGUGUGGAACGUAGGUAUGGCAUUUCAGUAAAGAAAACCAUACUGAGUUGUGGAACGUAAAUAUGGUAUUAUAGUAAAGAAAACCAUAUUGAGUUGUGGAACGUAGGUAUGAUAUUUCAGUAAAGAAAACCAUACUAAGUUGUGAAAAGUAGGUAUAGUAUUUCAGUGAAGAAAAUCAUACUGAGUUAUAGCAUUGUAAAUGAUUCAAGCAAAUCAUGGCACCGGGCAAACGAAGUACUCAAAUCCAUAAGACGGUCCUUAAUUUGACAAGUAUUUGUAAAUGCAAUUGAAGCUAAAUGUUGGAAAUAAGUUGGUAUCUGAUAUUGAGCUAGAUUGAGUAAAUUCAUUGUUUAAGAUUGUGGUUGGCAAGAAAUAUUGUAUUAUACUUGUUUAUUAUUAUUGUUAGUGAAAUUUUGGUAAGAUUUUAUUAUGAGCCUAUGAACUUACUAAGCUUUCUGUAAGCUUAUAUGCGUGUGUUUAUUGUUUCUUGUAGAUUGACGUAUAUGUGUUCGGAGGAUCAGGUUUACAUCAAGGAUCACACUAUUCAGAUUUACCUCGGUAGAUUUUGUUAAACAACUUUUUAAUUUAUAUGGCAUGCAUAGGGGUUGAAGUAAAAAGUAAUAGUAUGAAUGAUUAAGUAUGCAAAGUAAAUCUGAAUGUGAUGGUUGUGUUAGAUAUUGAAAUAUAUAUGUUUUAGCUUGAAACGGUUGAUUGGUUGGACUUUAUUAGUAUAUAAAUGUGUUUUUGUGUAGGAGGAUAGUAUGAAGGUAAGAAAAGUGGACUUAAAUGGUCUGGUUUUGUGUGUUUGAUUGUGUUUAAGUCUGGUAAUGCCUUGUAUCCUGUUCCAACGUCGGACACGGGUAAAGUGUGUUACAUUAACAUUUUUUAAUGUUUAUAUUAUAAUAUUAUUAUUUACUAUUAUAGAUUUAAUUUUUAUGUAUUAUAAAUUACAUAAUAUAUAAAAAUAAUAGAAUAUAAAAUAUUAUAAAAUUUUAAAAACAAAUAGAAUUAAAUCGAAUAUUAUAUAUUUAAGUUUGAAUUCGAUUUAUAUUUUAAACAAAAUUAAUUAAAUUUAUAAAAUAAAUCUAAAUUUUUUAUUUAAAUCUCCACAAAUUUUAGACAAACUUUCAACGGAUAUAGUCAUGAAUCAAGAGGUAGAGUGAUAGACAUUUAAAACACGUUAUUGUACAAUCAUAACAAAAGAAAAGGAGUGUUCUAAGACCAUAAAUUUUACCAACCACUUGCCUGCCUCUUAAACACAAAAGCUUUAAAGCUGCAAUGAUAUGACAAAACGGGCAUUUAUUUGUUUCUAUCAACUUAACGUACAUGGUAUUAAUAUUUUAGGGUGCACUGAUAUAUGAUUUACAGCAAUGGUCUCAUUCCACAGCAUCUGCAUCUGCAUCUGCAUCUGCAUCAUCCACCUUCUUAUUGGUGAUGAAGCCUAAAACCCGCCAUUGUUGAUAAAUUGAUUUCCCUGUCUGACACCCUGUUUCGUACCCAUGACUGAAGGUCCUCUUUUAUCUCCAACGUAAUUAUUUCAGUCGGCCCCAAUUGCAAUAAUGGUAGGAGAGAGAGACUUUCCAACGCCAUGCAGACCAAACAUGGAAACUGUCUCCACAUUAUCACUCACUCAUAUCCUCUCUAGUUUUUUUUUAAAGGGUUAAUGUGUAAAUUUCGGAGCUCAAAUUGAAAUUUAUACCCUAAUGUUAUAUUUUAAGUUAUAUUUAUCAAUAUACUUUAAAGCAAAAAAAAAAAUUUACCACUAUAUUUUAGUUUUAUUCUUAAAAUAUAAUGAUAAAUACUAAUCAAAAUAAUAUAUAGUGACAAAUUUUAAAUAUACACUAAUAAUAUAAUAAUAAAUUCCCAUUUUAACCCUUUUUUAAGAUUAAUUUUCAAAAAAACAAAUCAAUAAAUUUGAAAAACCUAAUUUUAUGAAUAUCAAAAAUUAAGAUUUAAAUAAUAUAAUAUUAUACAUUGAUACCUUAUUCAAAGGCAUAAGGAAUCUCUAUAAAGUAAAUCGCAUUUCUAUUUUCGGUCUUUAAUUUUUUUUUGUUCAUUUCAUUUUUAAUGUUAUAUGAUCUCAAUUUAAUUCUUUAGAUGUUAAAAGCUAAUGGUUGAAAUAUUCAUCCAUGUUACUACAUGUCAUAAAUAUGAUGCUAUCAUUUAAAAAACCUUUAAAAAUGAAAAAUUACAAAAAAAAUUAUUAAAAUUAUUAAAAUUAUUUAAAAUAGAAAAAUUAUAAAAAUUAUAAAAACUAACAUAAAAAUUUUAACAAGUUUGUUAUUAUUAAGUUUUACAUUCUUCGUGGCCAAAUAAGGUUUUAUAUAUAUAUAUAAACAAUCUAAAAAUAUUAAUUAACUACAAAAUAGUCUAGGUUUUUUAUUGGAAUAUAUUAAAAAAAUAUAAAUAUCGAAAUAGGUUGUCAGAUAGAUUAAUUAUCGAAAUGGUAUGUUUUUUUUAAUGGCGCCUAUCUGACAGGCGCCAAUGAAUUUUUUAUAUUAAUAUUUUUUCUUUUAAUAAAAUAUUAUUUUUUUCCGGAUCAGUAUAUGACCCAUUUUCUAUGAUAUAAUUGUAUCCCUUUUAUCUUGUCGGCAAUAGAUUAAAAUUAAACUUAUUGAUUAAUGUUGGUACCGAGUCAGGUUUAUGUAAUGUAUUUAGAUCAAUUUUUUAAGUUUGGAUUCGGCUCAGCUCAAAAAAUGAAUUUAUUUUUUUGCCCAAAUUUGACUCAAUUUAAUAAAAGUAAAUUCAGGUCUGGCCUAACUCGUUCAUAUUUGAUUUUUUUUAGAUUAGUUUUUAUUUAAAAAUAAAUUUCUAAAAAAUAUAAUACUAAAAAACUUUAAAAUAAAAGUUUUCUAACACAUUAGAAAUACAUUAAAAACUAUUUAUAUUAAAAAUACUAUUAUAAAUAUAAUAAAUAUUUUAUUGUAUUAAAUAUAAUUUUUAAAAUUUUAUAUUUUGGGUUGAGUUACUUAGUUUGGUAAGUUUUUUUUUUAGAUUUUGGGUAAUAGAUUUAAUUGUUAUUGAAUUAGUGAUUUAAUAUAAAUAUAAAUAUAAAUAUAAAUAUUAUUUAACAUAUAUAAUUAAUAUCAUAUUGUUAUAACAUAAUAUACUAGAGUCAAGCCAAGUUCAGACAAAAAAUUAUAUCCAAAUCCCGACUCAUAUAGAAAAUGGGUCAUAUACUGAUCCGGAAAAAAUUAAUAAUAUUUUAUUAAAAGAAAAAAAUUUAAUAUAAAAAAUUCAUUGGCGCCUGUCAGAGAAUCGCCAUUAAAAAGAAAAAAAAUAAUAUAAAAAAUUCAUUAGCUCCUGUCAAAUAGGCACCAUUAAAAAAAAUACCAUUUCGAUAAUUAAUCUAUCUGACAACCUAUUUCGGUAUUUAAUUUUUUUAAUAUAUUCCUAUAAAAACCCAAAUAGUCUUGGAGGAAAAAUUAUAUGCAAAAACGACUCAUUUGUUAUAGUAUUAGUCGGUGCCGUUUAAUCAAUCGGCGAUAUCACUUUCUUUUUUCUCUAAUCCUGAUUAAUCAUCAGUGUUUUAAAAAAAGAUUUUUUUGUACCACCUGACACAAUAGUGGCACUGAACUGAAGUACGAUUAUGUAAAAUGUUUAGAAACCAGAUGAAGUAAUUGCCUGUUUUUGAUUGGUUGGAAAAUAAUUACAAAUAUAAGAUAACAAAAAUAAACUCUUUUCAUUUUUUUAAAAAUAAUAAAAUUAAAAAUAUAUAUAAUAUUCUUAUUUAAAUUAUCCAAAUAUAUCCUUUAAAAAUUUUCUUUAAAUUUAUCUAAAUUUAAAUAUUUUCGUUAAAUUAAAAAUUAUCAAAUAUAAUAUUACUUGAAACCCAAAUACUAGACCAUUUUACCAAUAAAGACCCAUUUCUAACUUUAUUUACGAAAAUAGACCACUUUUUUCAUUAUUUACCGGAAUGAGCUGAAAACACUAAAAUGUGUCCACAAAAUAGUGUUUUAAGGGGAAAUUCUAGCAAAACGUGCCCCUGAGGGAGUAAUUUUGCCAUGUCAGCACAGAAUACACUGACGUGAACGCGCUUUGCUAACGUGGCAAAAUCGCUCCCUCAGGGACGCACUUUAGCCCGUGUUUUUCUAGUGUUAGGGCUAUUUGCAUGUUUAGUGCCUAAAGUUUGUGGGUUUAGGUUUUAGGAUUAUAGUGUUAGUAUUUUGUUAAUAUAAUUUAGGAUUUUAUUUAUUUAAAGUUUAAGAAAUUUUAAAAAUAAAUUAGGGUUAUAUGAAGUAGCGAUGUUGUUAAAUGUAUAGUAGUAUUGUUGGGAAUAUCACAAAAUUUUUUGUACUAUAUUUUGGAUUGUAUAUGAGUCUCUUUAUUGAAAAACAAAUAAAUUAAUUCUUCAAAAAGUUAUAAAAUGAUUACUAAAUUAUUUGAGUUUCCAUUUCAGUCAAUGGGCAAUUAAAUUAUUAUUGUAUAGCCUUAUCUGUUCGCACUCCUUAUACUAAUCGAAAGCUCCCAUUUUCCUUAUUUUUUUUAUAGUUUAAUUUUUCAUUACAAAUUUGCGAAUCAAAAUUCAAACAAAUUUUUUUAUUUUUUCUUAUAUUUUUGACAUUGAUUGUUAGAUUGUAGUUCACUAGUCAAACUUAAAAAAAAAACAACUUAACAAUCUAAUAACUUAAAUAAAAACUUUCGAAUAGUUUAGAAACUUAAAUGAAAACUUUUGAAUAGUUUAGUGAUCAUUUUGUAACUUUAUGAAGUUGGGUAACCAAAAUAUAAACUUAAUAAUAGUUUAAUGACAUUGAGUGUAGUUUACUCUUAAUAUAAUAUUAUGUUAGAUUCAAGUUAAUAUAAUAUUACUCUUUAAAUGUUCUUUUUUUGGAAAACAACUUAUGUUUUUCAAAAGAGGAAUUCGAUUCGUAGAAAAAAAUGAUUUAUUUUUUAUUGACUUGUAUCUCAUUUUUGUUUAUUAAAUUAUUUUUUAUGAAAAAAAUUUGAAAAAUGUAAAAAAAAAUAAAUCUAUAAAUCAUUUUUCAUGAAGUAGAAACAACUUAAAUUUGAAAGGAAACUUAGCAUAUAAUAUUUACACAAAAUGACACUUAAAACUUGAAAAGUUUCAUUCUUAAUGUCUUUAUAAUACCUAGAGAUAUACAUGGGUCGAACCAGAUCAAGGCUCAACUUAAAAAAAAUGUCAAACCCGGUUCCAAGCAUCUCACACCCAAUAAGCCUACAUUAUUGUUUGAAUAAUAGUACUUUUUAAAACAGACUUUUAGGGUAAGAGAUUAUGGAUGGUGUAGAGGUUGUCGUUGAUGAAUCAAAUGUGACCUAAGUGGGGAAUUUUUUUUUUCUUUAUUCUUCUUUUUCUACCACUGCAAGUUAAUGGGGGAUGCUAUAGAGACUACCGUUUCCACUUGGGAUGCCAACAUGGCAAGUUAAUUGGCUACCUCAGCUUUCUGUUAUGUCUAUAACGGUAGUAACCGAUUUGUCAUUUUUUUAAAGUUGAGCGACUGAAUUGAACCACAGUGACUGUUUUACCAGCUACAUCAAAGUUGAGUGACUGUUGGUGUAAUUUACCCUUAAAUUAAUUACUCAUUAUAGAUUUGUUGAAUCAAAUAUAUUUUCUUAUUAAUUCUACUACAGUAAUGUUUUUAUGAUUUUAGUAGUAGUAGAAUUGAGUUUAGAAACUAAUUUAAUUAAUUAAUUAAUAUUUAUUUAUUUUGGAAAAUAAAAAUAAUUAUUGGAUUGGAUUAAAUUAUAAAGUGUUAGGCCAAAAGUUAAAUAAACACAUAUAAUUAAACCCAAUACAUAAUAGGCCUAUCUAAACCCAUAUGUGAACACAAGGGGCGACAACCCUAAUAAAAUUAACAAGGUGUGUCACGCCUCCUUGCUCUAAUUAGAGUGGGAGCAUAUUUUUAUUUAAAUAACAUUAUUUGUUAAGGGCUUGUUCAACUAGGGUUCUUGUACCUCUCUUGUAAAUAGAUAGCAUCAGUUGACUUAAAAACACACUUCAUAAAUUAUCUAGUUAUCAUUAUUUUGCUAGAAAGUAGUGAGAAUUUAUUUACUUAAAAUAAAUUUUAUUUUCGGAGAAUUUCGAUAUAUACCAAUUUUUAUGGAGAGAACUAACUUUCCAACUGGAAGUAAGUAAAUCAUUUUAUUUUCUAUUAUUUGGUUCGUGUUACUCAAACUCAUACUCGAUGUAAUUUGUGGAACAAGGAUAGCAGAGAAUGUCAUUUAGUUGAAAGCCGGGAUCGACAUGAAUCUUCUUUCACAAUGCACAUGUAUGAUAGGAUCGACAUGGGUCGAACUUAGGCAUGAUAUUAACACGUUUUGUACUUGCCUAAGCGCAAUCCAACUCAAAAUAUGAGCCUAAAAUUUUAUUCAAAUUUACUAAUAUUUAUAAAUUGAUAACUCAAGCUCAUUUUAGACUUAUCCAUUUUAUUUUUAAAUAAAUUAAAAUUUAUUUAUAUUAAUUUUAAUUUAAUAUUUAUUAAAAUUUAAUAUUUAAUCAUAUUAAUAUUCUUUUUAUUUAUAUUAUAAUUAUAUUAUUUACAAUUAUAAUAAAUUUAAUUUUAUAUAACUCGGUUGAUAUUUUAAGCGAAAUAAAUGUUAGAGAAACUUUGAUCAGAGAUGACAUUUAAAAGACACUGCAGUAUGAUAACAAAAGAGAAGGUGGACUGUUCUAAGACCAUACAUUUUGCCUACCACUUACCUGCCACUUGAACACUAAAGCUUCAAAGCUGCAAUGAUAUGACAACACGACACGGCCAUUGAUAUAUGAUAAAAAUAUAAUUUUUAUUUUAAUCUUAUUAUUAUAUUUGAAGAUAAUACUAUAAACUACACAAGAAAUUUUAAAAAAUCCCAAAAUAAUGUCAUACAUUUAGUACACAAAACUCACUUCAAUUAAUUUUACCGAAGCAACUCAUCUUUCAUUUCUUCUCUCCAUUUCGAUUCCUGGACUCGGUAUCUUGUUGCUUUAAUUUUCUGGGUUAGAAAUCUCUUCUUUUCUUCUUUAUUUUCAAUGAUAUUUUUUUUCAAGUUAUUUCCUAACAUUUCAAACCUUUCAGAUGGCAGGAGCAAUGAUGGCAGAAGUUCUUUUGGGUGCUAUUUUGAAUGAAGCGGUGUCUAAAGCGAAUUCAAUUGCCACUAACCAAAUCAGCCGUAUAUCGAAUUUCAAGAAGGAGCUGAGAAGACUGGGCGACUCACUAGAAAUAAUGGAAGCUUUUUUGCAAGAUGCAGAGGAAAUGCAAACAAAGAAGGAAGCAGUGAAGCUUUGGUUGCAGAGGCUCAAAGAUGUUGCUGAUGAGGCUGCUGAUGUCCUUGAUGAGUUUGACUAUGAAAUUCUCCGAAGGAAACUGAAGAUUCGGAGCCAAAUUCGAAGGAAGGUAGUCGACUUCCUUUCUUCUGACAAUUCCAUUUUAUUUCGUCUCAAGAUGGCUAAAAAAAUUAAGGACAUCCUUGAAACACUGGAUGGCCUUAACAAACAGGCCAACGAAUUUGGUCUUCAGCAGAGAGCUACAGAACAUGUGUCUCCUAGAAGAUCAAAUGUGGAGACGUUCUCUGUCAUGGAUGACUCGCCCAUUGUUGGAAGGGAAAAUGAUGUCUCAAAGGUGGUUGACCUGUUAGUCAAUCCUAAAGAUGAGCAGGUUGUUUCUGUUGUACCUAUAGUAGGUAUGGCAGGUCUUGGCAAAACUGCAUUGGCAAAGCUGGUGUAUAAUGAUCUGCGUGUGAAAAGGCAUUUUGAUGUCAAAUCCUGGGUCUGUGUUUCUGAUCAUUUUGAUGUCAAAAAGAUUUUAGGGGCGAUGUUUGAACAGCUUACUGGUGAUAGCCGUACCUCAAUGCCAGAAAAUAUGGAUGCAAUGAUUAUGAAGCUCAAGAAGAAGAUUGAACAGGCCAAAGGAGAAAAAGAUCAGAUCAAGUAUCUUAUUGUACUUGAUGAUGUGUGGGAUGUUAAGAAAUGGGAGGAUCUAAAGCUUUGUCUGAAAGGAAUCAGUACAAAUGGCGGGAAUGGAGUUAUUGUGACAACACGCAAAGAAGAUGUAGGAUCAACAGUGCAAGCACUUUCGAAUCAAAGGCAUCACCCAGGAAGACUAGAAGAUGAAGAAUGCUGGUCCGUAAUUGAACAACUAGCAUUGACACCCUUUCCAAUGUCUCACGAAUUAGAGCUUAUUGGAAAGGAGAUUGCUAUGCAGUGUCGAGGUCUGCCAUUGUUAGCUAAAGUUAUUGGAGGGACAAUGCGCAAAGAAAGGAGCCACGGCACAUGGUUGGAAAUUCAAGAAAGUGGAGUAUGGGGUUCAGCGGACAGUGAGUUAGUGGAAAGUGUGUUAAAAUUAAGUUUUGAUCGCUUGCCUUCUCCAUCUUUGAAGAAGUGUUUUGCGUACUGUGCCAUGUUUCCGAAAGAUUAUUGCUUUGAAACAGAGGAAUUGAAGCAACUGUGGAUGGCUGAAGGAUUUCUUGGCAGCCCUAUGGCAAUGGUGGAUAUUGGUGACAAAUACUUGAAUGAGUUGUUAUCAAAUUCCUUAUUUCAAGAUGUCGAGAAGGACAAAUUCGGGAAUAUUCUCACAUUCAAGAUGCACGACUCGGUGCAUGAUCUAUCUUUGUCUGUGUCAAAGUUUGAUACUUUGUUUUUUCAAGAGAAAUCCAGUCUCACCUCAAAAGAGUGUUCUCAUAUUCGUCAUCUCAAUGUUGGGUGCGAUGGGGAAUCAUUACCAGAAAUUUUAACAGCGGUUGCUCCGAAAUUAUACUCGUUGUUUUCAGAGAUUGAUGUGUUCAAGAAACUAUCAAAAAGCUUCACAAGAUUAAGAGUCCUAAAGUUUGUUGGCGCUGCUAAUAUUUGUGAGUUGCCAGAUCCCCUUGGAGAAUUGAAGCACUUGAGGUAUUUGGAUGUCUCAAGGACUUCUAUCAAAGCACUGCCGAAGUCCGCAACCAAACUUUACAAUCUGCAAACAUUGAGGCUCUUGGGUUUACUGAGACUCACACUUCCAGAUGGAUUGGAAAUUUUGACAAGCUUGAAGCACUUGUAUUUUGGUAAAAAAGAACAUCAACUAGUUAAUAUUGGAAACCUAACUUGUCUUCAAACAUUACCCAUAUUUUUUGUGGGAUCAGAAAGGGGGCAUUCGAUUAAGGAGUUAGGAUCCCUAGACGAACUGCGUGGAGAAUUGAAGAUAUGCCAUCUUGAGGGUGUUAGAGACGAACAAGAGGCUAAAGGAGCAAAUCUGCACCGUAAAGAAAAAUUAUUCAAGGUGAUAUUUGAUUUUGGACGGUGUGAUAGUGGGAGUAGUGGUUAUAACAGUGAGGAAGUGAUGGAAGGUCUCCAACCACACUCAAAGUUGCAAAGCUUAACUGUUUCGCUUUACAGAGGUGAAAGCUUUCCCUCGUGGAUGUUAAGACCUGUUGGUGAUUCUAAUACUAAUCUGUUUUUGCUUAACAAUUUGAUGGAGCUGAAGUUUUUCUAUUGCAAGAACUGUGAAAGUCUUCCACCUCUGGGCCAAUUGCACAAUCUCCAGUAUCUUGAGUUGAUAAAGCUGACGAAAGUGAAACGCAUGGGUAAUGAAUUUUAUUGCAACGAAAGUGUUGAUGGUAUGAAUAAGGUGAUCAAGGUGUUUCCUGCAUUGAAAAAAUUCACCUUAAGGUUUAUGGACAGUCUAGAAGAAUGGACAGGAAUGGCGGAAACAAAGAUGAUCAUGUUUCCUUGCUUGGAGCGGCUGGAGAUUACGAGGUGUCCCUUGUUGAAAAGUGUUCCACUAACGGGACAAUGCUCAUCUCUUCAAAAGCUUCACAUUUCCAGUUGUGAAAAAUUAAGCAAGAUUGGAGAUGGAUUAUCUACCUCCACUUGUCUCAAAAAAUUACAUCUAGGCAAUUGUCCUGAUUUAAGUUCGAUCCCAAAUUUGGAAGGAUUUUCCUCUCUUCAAGAUCUGUCAGUUUGUGGGUGCCUCAAAUUGGAAGUUCUUCCAAUAACUGGAGGAUGUUCAUCUCUUGAAGAGCUGGAGAUUACGAGGUGUCCCUUGUUGAAAAGUGUUCCACUAACGGGACAAUGCUCAUCUCUUCAAAAGCUUCACAUUUGGGAUUGUGAAAAAUUAAGCAAGAUUGGAGAUGGAUUAUCUACCUCCACUUGUCUCAAAAAAUUACAUCUAGGCAAUUGUCCUGAUUUAAGUUCGAUCCCAAAUUUGGAAGGAUUUUCCUCUCUUCAAGAUCUGUCAGUUUGGGGGUGCCUCAAAUUGGAAGUUCUUCCAAUAACGGGACAAUGUUAUUCUCUUGAAAAGCUUCGCAUUUGCGAUUGUGAAAAAUUAAGCAAGAUUGGAGAUGGAUUAUCUACCUCCACUUGUCUCAAAAAAUUAAAUCUAAUCAUUUGUCCUGAUUUAAGUUCGAUCCCAAAUUUGGAAGGAUUUUCCUCUCUUCAAUAUCUGUCAGUUCGAUGUUGCAAGAAAUUGGAAGUUCUUCCAAUAACCGGAGGAUGUUCAUCUCUUGAAAAGCUUCGCAUUUCCAGUUGUGAAAAAUUAAGCAAGAUUGGAGAUGGAUUAUCUACCUCCACUUGUCUCAAAAAAUUAGAUCUAGUAGAUUGUCCUGAUUUAAGUUCGAUCCCAAAUUUGGAAGGAUUUUCCUCUCUUCAAGAUCUGUCAGUUUGGAGGUGCCUCAAAUUGGAAGUUCUUCCAAUAACCGGAGGAUGUUCAUCUCUUGAAGAGCUUUCCAUUUACAGUUGUGAAAAAUUAAGCAAGAUUGGAGAUGGAUUAUCUACCUCCACUUGUCUCAAAAAAUUAAAUCUAGCAGAUUGUCCUGAUUUAAGUUCGAUCCCAAAUUUGGAAGGAUUUUCCUCUCUUCAAUAUCUGUCAGUUCGAAGGUGCGACAAAUUGGAAGUUCUUCCAAUAACAGCACCACUGUCAUCGCUUAAAAAAAUGUUGAUAGGUGAUUGCCCUAAUUUGAGGCCCAUUCCAAGUUUAGAUGGACUCUCUUCUCUCACAGAAUUAGAAAUUGGGAAAGUAGGCGAAGGAUGGAGUCGUCUGCUACCAAAUAUGUUGCAAUCCAACGUUUCCCUUUGCAGUCUAACAAUAUUAAAUAUUCCUGAUCUGAUAUGGAUUCAAGAUGACAGCCUUGGUAGGCUUAACUGCUUGAGAGAAUUAGCUAUCGGUGGUUUCUCAGAAAAGCUACAAGAAUUCCCGGGGUCCAGUUCCAUUCGAUAUCUGAGUGCCUCCCUUCUAGUUCUAAAACUGACUGGUUGGGAAAAGCUAAAGAGUCUUCCUCACCAACUUCAGUUCUUGACUGCCCUCGAAGAAUUGACGAUAGAAGGGUUUCAAGGAGUAGAAGCCUUUCCAGAGUGGUUGGGAAAUCUCUCUUCUCUGAAGCGUCUAUAUUUGAGUGGUUUUGGAAAGCUAAAGAGUCUUCCUCACCAACUUCAUCUCCCCAGUACCCUUGAAGAGUUGACUAUUGACAAUUUUCAUGAAAUAGAAGCCUUGCCAGACUCGUUCAGAAAUCUCUCUUCUCUAGGGUGUCUGAGUAUCCAGUUCUGUGAUAAGCUCAUGUACUUGCCUUCUGUAGAUGUUAUGCGAAGCCUCUCCAAAUUAAUAAGAAUGAACAUUAAAGGGUGUCCUCUAUUAGAGACAAGAUGUGAGCGGGAGAGUGGCCCUGAAUGGUCCAAGAUUUCCCACAUUCCACAUGUAUAUAUUAAUCAUCGGAGGUAAGUUCAGUUACUUGAACCACAACUCUGCAUCUUUUGGCUUUUGAUAUAAAAUAUACUAAUCCUCUCUUGAUACUUUUUAUAGUUAUACCGUUUGUUCUUCUCAUCCUAAGUUACUUGAUUUUGUCUCAUAUAAAUCCUUCUUUUAAAAUUUUUUUGGCUUUUGUGGCAUAAUGUUGCAGGACUAAUUGGGGCAUCAAAUCUGUUAGAAAAUGGACUGCAAAGCAACAAACAAGUUGAUAUGCAACUUGGUUUCAUAAUGAUAGCUAUAAUGCUUUCAUCUUUUGCUUUCAUAAUGAUAGCCAAAUUUGGUGGAGUAGGUAGUAUUUGGUGAUGUAUUUGACUAUAAAUGUAUUGUUUUUCUAGUUGAAUGAAUGAGCUGAAUGAGCUAUCAGCCAUUAGCUCCCUUGCAGCACGUUUGUGAGCAAGUAAAUUGUUUUUGUUUCUUCCUCCUUUGUUCUUUGUCUUGUUUUCUUUCUUUUUGCUGCUGCCAAUGUAGGAUCAACAGUGCAAGCACUUUCGAAUCAAAGGCAUCACCCAGGAAGACUAGAAGAUGAAGAAUGCUGGUCCGUAAUUGAACAACUAGCAUUGACACCCUUUCCAAUGUCUCACGAAUUAGAGCUUAUUGGAAAGGAGAUUGCUAUGCAGUGUCGAGGUCUGCCAUUGUUAGCUAAAGUUAUUGGAGGGACAAUGCGCAAAGAAAGGAGCCACGGCACAUGGUUGGAAAUUCAAGAAAGUGGAGUAUGGGGUUCAGCGGACAGUGAGUCAGUGGAAAGUGUGUUAAAAUUAAGUUUUGAUCGCUUGCCUUCUCCAUCUUUGAAGAAGUGUUUUGCGUACUGUGCCAUGUUUCCGAAAGAUUAUUGCUUUGAAACAGAGGAAUUGAAGCAACUGUGGAUGGCUGAAGGAUUUCUUGGCAGCCCUAUGGCAAUGGUGGAUAUUGGUGACAAAUACUUGAAUGAGUUGUUAUCAAAUUCCUUAUUUCAAGAUGUCGAGAAGGACAAAUUCGGGAAUAUUCUCACAUUCAAGAUGCACGACUCGGUGCAUGAUCUAUCUUUGUCUGUGUCAAAGUUUGAUACUUUGUUUUUUCAAGAGAAAUCCAGUCUCACCUCAAAAGAGUGUUCUCAUAUUCGUCAUCUCAAUGUUGGGUGCGAUGGGGAAUCAUUACCAGAAAUUUUAACAGCGGUUGCUCCGAAAUUAUACUCGUUGUUUUCAGAGAUUGAUGUGUUCAAGAAACUAUCAAAAAGCUUCACAAGAUUAAGAGUCCUAAAGUUUGUUGGCGCUGCUAAUAUUUGUGAGUUGCCAGAUUCCCUUGGAGAAUUGAAGCACUUGAGGUAUUUGGAUGUCUCAAGGACUUCUAUCAAAGCACUGCUGAAGUCCGCAACCAAACUUUACAAUCUGCAAACAUUGAGGCUCUUGGGUUUACUGAGACUCACACUUCCAGAUGGAUUGGAAAUUUUGACAAGCUUGAAGCACUUGUAUUUUGAUAAAAAAGAACAUCAACUAGUUAAUAUUGGAAACCUAACUUGUCUUCAAACAUUACCCAUAUUUUUUGUGGGAUCAGAAAGGGGGCAUUCGAUUAAGGAGUUAGGAUCCCUAGACGAACUGCGUGGAGAAUUGAAGAUAUGCGAUCUUGAGGGUGUUAGAGACGAACAAGAGGCUAAAGGAGCAAAUCUGCACCGUAAAGAAAAAUUAUUCAAGGUGAUAUUUGAUUUUGGACGGUGUGAUCAAAAAUUAUUCAAGGUGAUAUUUGAUUUUGGACGGUGUGAUAGUGGGAGUAGUGGUUAUAACAGUGAGGAAGUGAUGGAAGGUCUCCAACCACACUCAAAGUUGCAAAGCUUAACUGUUUCGCUUUACAGAGGUGAAAGCUUUCCCUCGUGGAUGUUAAGACCUGUUGGUGAUUCUAAUACUGAUUUGUUUUUGCUUAACAAUUUGAUGGAGCUGAAGUUUUUCUAUUGCAAGAACUGUGAAAGUCUUCCACCUCUGGGCCAAUUGCACAAUCUCCAGUAUCUUGAGUUGAUAAUGCUGACGAAAGUGAAACGCAUGGAUAAUGAAUUUUAUUGCAACGAAAGUGUUGAUGGUAUGAAUAAGGUGAUCAAGGUGUUUCCUGCAUUGAAAAAAUUCACCUUAUGGUUUAUGGACAGUCUAGAAGAAUGGACAGGAAUGGCGGAAACAAAGAUGAUCAUGUUUCCUUGCUUGGAGCGGCUGGAGAUUACGACGUGUCCCUUGUUGAAAAGUGUUCCACUAACGGGACAAUGUUCAUCUCUUGAAAAGCUUCGCAUUUGCGAUUGUGAAAAAUUAAGCAAGAUUGGAGAUGGAUUAUCUACCUCCACUUGUCUCAAAGAAUUAGAUCUAGCAGAUUGUCCUGUUUUAAGUUCGAUCCCAAAUUUGGAAGGAUUUUCCUCUCUUCAAUAUCUGUCAGUUCGAUGUUGCAAGAAAUUGGAAGUUCUUCCAAUAACUGGAGGAUGUUCAUCUCUUGAAAAGCUUCGCAUUUGCGAUUGUGAAAAAUUAAGCAAGAUUGGAGAUGGAUUAUCUACCUCCACUUGUCUCAAAGAAUUAGAUCUAGCAGAUUGUCCUGAUUUAAGUUCGAUCCCAAAUUUGGAAGGAUUUUCCUCUCUUCAAUAUCUGUCAGUUCGAUGUUGCAAGAAAUUGGAAGUUCUUCCAAUAACCGGAGGAUGUUCAUCUCUUGAAAAGCUUCGCAUUUACGAUUGUGAAAAAUUAAGCAAGAUUGGAGAUGUAUUAUCUACCUCCACUUGUCUCAAAGAAUUAGAUCUAGUCAAUUGUCCUGAUUUAAGUUCGAUCCCAAAUUUGGAAGGAUUUUCCUCUCUUCAAGAUCUGUCAGUUUGGAGGUGCCUCAAAUUGGAAGUUCUUCCAAUAACCGGAGGAUGUUCAUCUCUUGAAGAGCUUUCCAUUUACAGUUAGUGAAAAAUUAAGCAAGAUUGGAGAUGGAUUAUCUACCUCCACUUGUCUCAAAGAAUUAGAUCUAGCAGAUUGUCCUGAUUUAAGUUCGAUCCCAAAUUUGGAAGGAUUUUCCUCUCUUCAAUAUCUGUCAGUUCCAUGUUGCAAGAAAUUGGAAGUUCUUCCAAUAACCGGAGGAUGUUCAUCUCUUGAAAAGCUUCGCAUUUGCGAUUGUGAAAAAUUAAGCAAGAUUGGAGAUGGAUUAUCUACCUCCACUUGUCUCGAAGAAUUACAUCUAGCAGAUUGUCCUGAUUUAAGUUCGAUCCCAAAUUUGGAAGGAUUUUCCUCUCUUUAAUAUCUGUCAGUUCGAUGUUGCAAGAAAUUGGAAGUUCUUCCAAUAACCGGAGGAUGUUCAUCUCUUGAAAAGCUUCGCAUUUGCGAUUGUGAAAAAUUAAGCAAGAUUGGAGAUGGAUUAUCUACCUCCACUUGUCUCAAAGAAUUAGAUCUAGCAGAUUGUCCUGAUUUAAGUUCGAUCCCAAAUUUGGAAGGAUUUUCCUCUCUUCAAUAUCUGUCAGUUCGAUGUUGCAAGAAAUUGGAAGUUCUUCCAAUAACCGGAGGAUGUUCAUCUCUUGAAAAGCUUCGCAUUUACGAUUGUGAAAAAUUAAGCAAGAUUGGAGAUGGAUUAUCUACCUCCACUUGUCUCAAAGAAUUAGAUCUAGUAGAUUGUCCUGAUUUAAGUUCGAUCCCAAAUUUGGAAGGAUUUUCCUCUCUUCAAUAUCUGUCAGUUCGAUGGUGCGACAAAUUGGAAGUUCUUCCAAUAACAGCACCACUGUCAUCGCUUAAAAAAAUGUUGAUAGGUGAUUGCCCUAAUUUGAGGCCCAUUCCAAGUUUAGAUGGACCCUCUUCUCUCACAGAAUUAGAAAUUGAGAAAGUAGGCGAAGGAUGGAGUCGUCUGCUACCAAAUAUGUUGCAAUCCAACGUUUCCCUUUGCAGUCUAACAAUAUUAAAUAUUCCUGAUCUGAUAUGGAUUCAAGAUGACAGCCUUGGUAGGCUUAACUGCUUGAGAGAAUUAGCUAUCGGUGGUUUCUCAGAAAAGCUACAAGAAUUCCCGGGGUCCAGUUCCAUUCGAUAUCUGAGUGCCUCCCUUCUAGUUCUAAAACUGACUGGUUGGGAAAAGCUAAAGAGUCUUCCUCACCAACUUCAGUUCUUGACUGCCCUCGAAGAAUUGACGAUAGAAGGGUUUCAAGGAGUAGAAGCCUUUCCAGAGUGGUUGGGAAAUCUCUCUUCUCUGAAGCGUCUAUAUUUGAGUGGUUUUGGAAAGCUAAAGAGUCUUCCUCACCAACUUCAUCUCCCCAGUACCCUUGAAGAGUUGACUAUUGACAAUUUUCAUGAAAUAGAAGCCUUGCCAGACUCGUUCAGAAAUCUCUCUUCUCUAGGGUGUCUGAGUAUCCAGUUCUGUGAUAAGCUCAUGUACUUGCCUUCUGUAGAUGUUAUGCGAAGCCUCUCCAAAUUAAUAAGAAUGAACAUUGAAGGGUGUCCUCUAUUAGAGACAAGAUGUGAGAGGGAGAGUGGCCCUGAAUGGUCCAAGAUUUCCCACAUUCCAUUUGUUAAUAUUAAUGAUUGGCUGUAAGUUCAGUUACUUGAACCACAACUCUGCAUCUUUUGGCUUUUGAUAUAAAAUAUACUAAUCCUCUCUUGAUACUUUUUAUAGUUACACCCUUUGUUCUUCUCAUCCUAAGUUACUUGAUUUUGCCUCAUAUAAAUCCUUCUUUUAAAAUUUUUUGGCAUAAUGUUGCAGGAUUUAGUUUGGGCAUGGAAUCUUUUGAGACUAUCAGUUUGAGAACCAAAUUAUGAAUUAAAUCCGUGGACACAAAAGUAAGUUGUGCUUAUAAUUUCCUUUCCAUGAAAAUUAUGAUAUUAUGCCUUUAGAUUUUGCCUUGAUAAAUAAUUCCAUGGAUAUCCUAAGUCCCUUUUCUCAUAUCUCAUAUUUUUAACUUAAAUUUUGAUAAAGAUUUCAUGGAUUUAUUGUCUUUCCUACACAAAUAUCUCAUUGCUGCCCUCUCUUACGAAGUUCUCAAAUCAUACUGUAUUGUAAGUUAUCUAUUUUCAUUUGAAAUGAAAUUCAUUUCGCAGAUCCGGGUUUUAUGUGUAGCCGCCCUUGGUGACAUAUUUAAGGUAAGUGGUGUAUGACCAUUGAGAAUAACUUCAACUAACUUUAUUACGAAAUUUCUUUUCUUUCCGAACUUUUAUUCUUUUGUAUUUGAGAAUCAUAGAUCAUGCAACCAAUAAAGAACAGCUUUGAAUUGCAAUUGUGAUUGGUACUUUUGUGAUUGACAGCAAAUUCACCAUACUUUGGAUUCUAAUCAGAAGCUUGUAUCUUGUUUUGCAUUGCAUUUGUGUCUCCUUGCAAGAACUGAUGUUAAGUUGUGAUCAAUGAGCAAGUUUCUUGCAAGACUUCGAUUUCCUUCUCAUGCAAUUUAUGACACUUCAUUCUAUGAUUAUCUUUGCAAUUUACAAACUGGCUUUUAUGUUUUUAUUUGAUAAAGAUUUUGUGGAUAUGGUAAGUCUCUUUCUAUAUAGUCAUUCGCAAUGUACAACUCAAUUGAAUCACAUAACUCCAUAAAACAUUCAUUUAGUUUGGAACUACAAGUCUCAUAUAUUGCUUUGUUUAUCCUUUUUUUCUGCUAUUCUAAUUUAAGGACGAUGAGAUUUUCAUGUUUUAACCUUUUGUUAAAACCAGUACUGCUUAUGUUCCAUGAAUUAUCCAGUAUCCACUCAUGAAAUUUCUGAUUUCUCUUUGAAUGUAAAGGGAGAUGCUGAUAGGGCUUGAGUCAGAGUGAAUUGUUCUCCUUUUCAACAUUGAAGAGCUAUAAUAUAAAAGACAGCUUUGGUUCUCCAAUGCAGUGUUGAUCGACUCUUCGAUCGAGGAUUUAUCUGAUGUCUGUUUGAGCUGAUUUUUGGACAAGGGCCAGUAGGCUCGCGGAUUUCGAUUGUGCAAGGUUGGCAUUUUCAUAAAUUAAUUCAUUCGACCUUAUCAAAUAGUAAUACUUCAAGUUUCAACUUAAUUACUAUAUUUUCUCAAACAUGUAAAAGGCUUUUAAACAAGCCGGCCUUGCUAUGAAAAUUUGGAUCCACUAAUUGAGUUUAGCUCAAUUUUGGCUCACUUAAUUAAUUAUUUAUUUCAUGGGUCAGACCCGAAUUUUGCUGCCAUACAAAUAAAAUAAAAUGAUUAAUCCAACUUCACAUGUUGAAUUCUCACUAUGUGUGAGUUUUAGUUUAAUUGAUUAAUUUAUAGUUUGAAUUUGUUCUAUAAUAGUUUGAUCACACCCAAUGAUUAUUAAAGCAUGUAUUUGUACUUAUAGUUUAAUUAUAUUGUACUUGUAAAUUUUAAAAAUAAUUAUUAUAUGAUGAUAUUUGUAGAUUGGUUUAUAAUUAAAAUAGUACUACUAUAUGCAUGGAUAUAAUUUAUGACACUUCUUUCUAUGAUGUGAUUAUCUUUGCAAUUUACAAACUGGCUUUUAAGUUUUUAUUUGAUAAAGAUUUUGCGGAUAUGGUAACUCUCUUGCUAUAUAUAGUCAUUUGCAAUGCACAACUAAAUUGAAUCACAUAACUCCAUAAAACAUUCAUUUAGUUUGGAACUACAAGUCAUAUAUUGCUUUGUUUAUCCUUUUUGUCUGCUAUUCUAAUUUAAGGACGAUGAGAUUUUCAUGUUUUAACCUUUUAUUAAAACCAGUACUGCUUAAGUUCCAUGAAUUAUCCAAGUAUCCACUCAUGAAAUUUCUGAUUUCUCUUUGGAUAUAAAGGGAGAUGCUGAUAGGGCUUGAGUCAGAGUGAAUUGUUCUCCUUUUCAACAUUGAAGAGCUAUAAUAUAAAAGACAGCUUUGGUUCACCA